rnacentral:lncRNA from 1 species
AGUGAGGUUGGGCCAGUGCCUAUUAUUCCAUAUUGAAUUUGAAUGACUUGAGCUAGAUAUGAGUGUGGUAUGGAAUUCUCUCUGACUUCGAUCUGGAACUCCCUAAGGUAAGUGAUCGUGUAGACAAUCCUCCUUCCGGUCGGCUUUAUGUAUAUGAGAAAGUGCUCCGAGUAGGUUUAAGAUUUUCUAUUCAUCCUUGAUAUUUUUCAUUUUUACAGCCUUUCCUUUGUGCG